rnacentral:rRNA from 1 species
UACAGAGGAUGCAAGCGUUAUCCGGAAUGAUUGGGCGUAAAGCGUCUGUAGGUGGCUUUUUAAGUCCGCCGUCAAAUCCCAGGGCUUCAACUCUGGACAGGCGGUGGAAACUACCAAGCUGGAGUACGGUAGGGGCAGAGGGAAUUUCCGGUGGAGCGGUGAAAUGCGUAGAGAUCGGAAAGAACACCAACGGCGAAAAGCACUCUGCUGGGGCCGACACUGACACUGAGAGACGAAAGCUAGGGGGAGC